GACGAAGGAUGCAAGCGUUAUCCGGAUUCAUUGGGUUUAAAGGGAGCGUAGGUGGCCUUGUAAGUCAGUGGUGAAAUCUCUCGACUUAACUGAGAAAUUGCCAUUGAUACUGCAGGGCUUGAGUACAGAUGCCGUUGGCGGAAUAUGACAUGUAGUGGUGAAAUACAUAGAGAUGUCAUAGAACACCGAUUGCGAAGGCAGCUGACGAAACUGUAACUGACACUGAGGCUCGAAAGUGUGGGGAUCAAACAGG
rnacentral:rRNA from 1 species